AUGAACGCUGGCGGCGUGCCUAAUACAUGCAAGUCGAGCGAACAGACGAGGAGCUUGCUCCUCUGACGUUAGCGGCGGACGGGUGAGUAACCCGUGGAUAACCUACCUAUAAGACUGGGAUAACUUCGGGAAACCGGAGCUAAUACCGGAUAAUAUAUUGAACCGCAUGGUUCCAUAGUGAAAGACGGUUUUGCUGUCACUUAUAGAUUGAUCCGCGCCGCAUUAGCUAGUUGGUAAGGUAACGGCUUACCAAGGCAACGAUGCGUAGCCGACCUGAGAGGGUGAUCAGCCACACUGGAACUGAGACACGGUCCAGACUCCUACGGGAGGCAGCAGUAGGGAAUCUUCCGCAAUGGGCGAAAGCCUGACGGAGCAACGCCGCGUGAGUGAUGAAGGUCUUCGGAUCGUAAAACUCUGUUAUUAGGGAAGAACAAAUGUGUAAGUAACUAUGCACGUCUUGACGGUACCUAAUCAGAAAGCCACGGCUAACUACGUG
rnacentral:rRNA from 1 species